rnacentral:rRNA from 1 species
AGUGAACGCUGGCGGUAGGCCUAACACAUGCAAGUCGAACGGCAGCACAGUAAGAGCUUGCUCUUACGGGUGGCGAGUGGCGGACGGGUGAGGAAUACAUCGGAAUCUACUUUUUCGUGGGGGAUAACGUAGGGAAACUUACGCUAAUACCGCAUACGACCUACGGGUGAAAGCAGGGGAUCUUCGGACCUUGCGCGAUUGAAUGAGCCGAUGUCGGAUUAGCUAGUUGGCGGGGUAAAGGCCCACCAAGGCGACGAUCCGUAGCUGGUCUGAGAGGAUGAUCAGCCACACUGGAACUGAGACACGGUCCAGACUCAUACGGGAGGCAGCAGUGGGGAAUAUUGGACAAUGGGCGCAAGCCUGAUCCAGCCAUACCGCGUGGGUGAAGAAGGCCUUCGGGUUGUAAAGCCCUUUUGUUGGGAAAGAAAAGCAGAAGGUUAAUACCCCGCUGUUCUGACGGUACCCAAAGAAUAAGCACCGGCUAACUUCGUG